AUGUAGUCCACAAAGAGAAAGUGUGGGAGAAAGAAGAGAAAAACGUCAUCACGCACUUUAGAGGAAACACAUCAAAUAUAACAGCCCCAGGGGUAUUAAUGAGCGUUCCGCUGAGAGCUGAGGCACAGUUCAGAUCGGACGAGACCCUUCGAUGAACGAAGUGCAAGUGAAACAGAAACACAUGCAUCUGAUUACGGUUAAAAGACGUGCAGAAGAGAAUGUUAAUGGAAACAAAAAUAACCCACGACCAGACUCCCACACCAGCUCAGUGCAGUCCACCCCCGGGACAGGAUGCUUUCCUCCAGACCCAACCCUGACCCUCCCUGCUCCUGGGGCCCUCGCCAGAGCCCAGGGUGGGCGCCCCCUCCUCAGAGUGAUUUGUGGGCUCCCUGAGCUCACCUUCCUGACUGCCUGGCAAGGUUGAGAUUUACAGGUCUGGUGUUAAUGAUGCGAUUAGGUACCCUGUCCAGUAUACAACUACGCUUCCCAGGAGGGGACGGCCUCAUAUCCGCUGACAGCACCACUUGGUCCCAUAAGCCAGGCACUAGGAGGUUCCCAAGGGCGACUCCACUGGGGAAAGUGACUUUCAUGUGCCUGUGUCGUAGGUGAAGAGAGGAGGGUAGGAGGGGGGGUUUCUGAAGGUGACCAAGGGGCCAGGUGAGAGCCAGAGUCCCAAGCCAGGUCUGGGCCCCACCCACACUAUCACACCUGGGAUGAGCCCUUCCGAAGUGCUCAGAAGUUUCAAAAGCAGGAUGGAGAGCCGUCCCUGGGGACCACCAGAGAGGCAGGAAACUCUGUCUGCAGAGGCCGAGGACAAGCCAGAGGGCAGCUCUGAUGUCACAUGGGCCCAGAACAGUGAUGGGAACUCAGCAGCCCAGAUGGGGGGUCUGAGGGACUCGGGGACAGCCCAGGGCCACCAGCCAGGGGUGGGAGCCUGGCAGACCCACUGGGUGGGGGACACGAACAGCGAGGGCAUGCAGCUAGGGCGCAGCCUGGUGCAAGGCCAGGGGAGGGAAGGCGGCCCCAGCACCUUCCUGCUGCUGCCUCUCCCAGUGACGGCGGGUCCUGGGCACAGCCACACAGGCAGCACAGGGAGAGGGUCAGGCUGUGCUCUCAGCCCCAGGACCUGUGCCCAGCCUUGGACUGGGUGUAGGGGCUCCAGGAGCAAGUGGAAGAGGGCAGGGAUCCAGACGGCUGCAGGUGGAACAGCUGCCUUCCCUGGGAGCAGGUCUGGCCAGAGAGUGGGGGGAACAGUGCCUGCGCACCAGGGAGAGGCCCAGGGACCCUGGACAGAGGCCGAAGACACCAAGGGGCUGGGAGAAGCAGAUCCAGAGAAGGCGCCCAGAGCUGCCGCUCGAGCUCCUCAUGAAGAGAGCCAAGUGCUUCCGCUGGUGGAGGCUUUGUUUGUUUAUUUCAAACAUUUCCUCUGGUUUCAGUGAAAACGUUUACUUUACAACUCCGGCAGGAACGUGAGCAGGAACCAAGGGAGCUGCACUUCAGGAAAGCCAGUGGCCUUGGUGCUCGGAAGCAGAUGGGUUUCCCUACUCCAGAUGGAAGAGGUGAUGGGUGAGAGAAGUGUGGCCCAUCAGAGAGGAAGCCUUUAACACAGCGCCAUGAGGGUGCCCCUGCCUGAAGUUCCCACCACCCGGCCCAGCCCUCGGCUCCUGGGAUGUCUCACCGCCUCCCUUCGGAAUGGGAACCUGGUCUCAGUGAGCGCCUUUGCACUGCCAUCCUCCUUCACUCGGCCCGAGACUUUAGGAGGAAGAGGAUGAACAACACUGAAGUCGAGCUAAACAUACAUGUGAAGCAAACUCUCUUCACAAAAUUGGAAAAUUCCCAGAGUUGGAGGAGUUUGGCAGGGAGCCCUGUGUCUCUUCAACACUGCAGCCCGUCUCGGCCGCCACGCCUCUGCCAACCUGGAUGACAUCAGUCACGGAAGCUGACCGGCGCCACAAACAGAAAUGCAGCCUCCACCCCAAAACUCUGCCUGAAAGGGGCCAGAGUUUAGGUCAAACAGGAAGCCCAGUGUCCCGAGAACAGGACCAAGACGUCACACACCCCUUGGACAUCAGGUGCAUGGCCCUGGGGCUGCGGACUUGUGGCUGGGCAGGGCGAGCGUCCACCUGGAGGGCACUGCGCUUCCCUUGGACAGGACCUUCUCUCCCAUGGCGUCCCCAGCGUGCUGCAGGGAGGACUGGCUGGCUUGGGUGGGCAGCGGCCUUCCCCCACCUCGCUGCACAGUGGGCCUGCUCGCAGCCGCACUUCGCACCCACCUGGAUCCUUAGAGACUGCUCAGCCAUGCCCCGGUGGGAGGGGACGGCUCCCGGAGCGAGCCGAAGCUGCAAACUCCCUGAGAAGCAGGACUCAUCUGCGCGGGGGUGCAGAACCGGGCCGCCACACGACAUCUCCUGUCCUCGUCAGUGCAGAGACGGAGACUUCGCAAAGGACUCCGGACCCGGGGAGAGGAGAAGACUCCACAAACAAGGCACAGACCCUCACGCGCGCUAAUCUGGCGCUGCAGGGCCUCUUUCCGUCUUUACGCAGAGGUGAGGCCGCAGCAGACGCAUGGUGGAGCAGACUGAAGAGGGCGGAGGCCGGGCCCGACGCUGCCUUAGCGGAGCCUUGCUUCCUGGACAGCAUUAGCGCGCUGGCGGCGCUUCCUUCGCCCACGGAAAGGGAGGCAACAGAGAUCUUGCUCUCAAGCAGAGGCAGAUCUUUUGCCUCCCUCUCCAGGUCCUUUACCGGGCUCACGGCGCUGGCUUACUGAGUGCUCGGGGUGGUCGUGUCCGAUCAGAUCACCCGGCGCCUGUGCGAGUAAGCAGAUAAAAAGCGGACCUGCUUGGAACGGCUGGAUCGCUGGGCUUUCGUGAUUGUUUUGCAAAGCUCUUUUUUAUGAGCUGCCAGUU